rnacentral:rRNA from 1 species
GGGGAAUAUUGCACAAUGGGGGAAACCCUGAUGCAGCGACGCCGCGUGGAGGAAGAAGGUCUUCGGAUUGUAAACUCCUGUUGUUGAGGAAGAUAAUGACGGUACUCAACAAGGAAGUGACGGCUAACUACGUGCCAGCAGCCGCGGUAAAACGUAGGUCACAAGCGUUGUCCGGAAUUACUGGGUGUAAAGGGAGCGCAGGCGGGAAGACAAGUUGGAAGUGAAAUCUAUGGGCUCAACCCAUAAACUGCUUUCAAAACUGUUUUUCUUGAGUAGUGCAGAGGUAGGCGGAAUUCCCGGUGUAGCGGUGGAAUGCGUAGAUAUCGGGAGGAACACCAGUGGCGAAGGCGGCCUACUGGGCACCAACUGACGCUGAGGCUCGAAAGUGUGGGUAGCAAACAGGAUUAGAUACCCUGGUAGUCCACACCGUAAACGAUGAUUACUAGGUGUUGGAGGAUUGACCCCUUCAGUGCCGCAGUUAACACAAUAAGUAAUCCACCUGGGGAGUACGACCGCAAGGUUGAAACUCAAAGGAAUUGACGGGGGCCCGCACAAGCAGUGGAGUAUGUGGUUUAAUUCGACGCAACGCGAAGAACCUUACCAAGUCUUGACAUCCUGCGACGAUGCUGGAAACAGUAUUUUCCUUCGGGACGCAGAGACAGGUGGUGCAUGGUUGUCGUCAGCUCGUGUCGUGAGAUGUUGGGUUAAGUCCCGCAACGAGCGCAACCCUUACUGUCAGUUACUACGCAAGAGGACUCUGGCAGGACUGCCGUUGACAAAACGGAGGAAGGUGGGGAUGACGUCAAAUCAUCAUGCCCUUUAUGACUUGGGCUACACACGUACUACAAUGGCGUUAAACAAAGAGAAGCAAGACCGCGAGGUGGAGCAAAACUCAGAAACAACGUCCCAGUUCGGACUGCAGGCUGCAACUCGCCUGCACGAAGUCGGAAUUGCUAGUAAUCGCGAAUCAGAAUGUCGCGGUGAAUACGUUCCCG